rnacentral:rRNA from 1 species
CCUACGGGAGGCUGCAGUGGGGAAUAGUGCGCAAUGGGCGAAAGCCUGACGCAGCGACGCCGCGUGAGGGAUGAAGGUCUGCGGAUCGUAAACCUCUGUCAGCAGGGAAGAACGGUCACUGUGCUAAGCAGCAGUGAAUGGACGGUACCUGCAAAGGAAGCACCGGCUAACUCCGUGCCAGCAGCCGCGGUAAUACGGAGGGUGCGAGCGUUAAUCGGAAUUACUGGGCGUAAAGCGCUCGUAGGCGGUAUGUCAAGUCAAGGGUGAAAUCCCCGCGCUCAACGUGGGAACUGCCUUUGAAACUGGCAACCUGGCGUGUGUUAGUGGUUCGUGGACUUCCAGUUGU